rfam:Triticum aestivum genome assembly, contig: Triticum_aestivum_CS42_TGACv1_scaffold_591836_7BS
CUUGUACUCCUUCCGUCCCAAAAUUCUUAUCUUAAAUUUGUCUAGAUACGGAUGUAUCUAGUCAUAUUUUAGUGUUAGAUACAUUCGUACCUACAGAAAUGUAAGACAAGAAUUUUGGGAUGGAGGAAAUACAAC